rnacentral:rRNA from 1 species
UACGUAGGGUGCGGGCGUUAAUCGGAAUUACUGGGCGUAAAGCGUGCGCAGGCGGUCUUUUAAGUCAGAUGUGAAAUCCCCGGGCUUAACCUGGGAACUGCGUUUGAAACUGGAAGGCUUGAGUGUGGCAGAGGGGGGUGGAAUUCCACGUGUAGCAGUGAAAUGCGUAGAGAUGUGGAGGAACACCGAUGGCGAAGGCAGCCCCCUGGGCUAACACUGACGCUCAUGCACGAAAGCGUGGGGAGCAAACAGG